GCAGCUAAACUCUAACACAGAGGUUUUUCUAACUUGUCUGAUGGUUAUUUUAAGAAAAAAAAAAAUGCCCAAGGUACUUGUGAAAAAUAGAAAAACAGAGGUUCCUGGCCACUGCCCUGAGGAUUCCAAUUCAAUAGGUCCGGAGUGGCCCAGGAGAUUCUAAUGAAGGGUUUAGGAUGUCAGCUGCUCUAAUGGGGCUAAGAGGCAAAACUUGGCCUCUUCUAGGCUUUCCCAAAUUCACUCUGCCAGUUAAUCUGAAACGUCAGGGAGGGGAAGACUGUUUGAAGCUUUGGGAAAGCUCACAUUGUCUCCCCCAUCCCAUUUCAGCAAGAGAGCCUUCCUAGAAGAGAUGGAGUAAUUUCCAGAACUGGAACAAAGGGAGAGACCUGGGCUCACAGACAGAAAGGAAGAUGAGCUCAGAGGACAUCCUGCUUCACCCAGUCUUUUGCAGGGGAGUCCCAACCAAGGAGAGGUGCCCGACUAGGGAAUCCCACAUACCCACCAACUUCCAAAGAGCUGAAACUGGAGCAAAUCCAAAUGAAUAUGAAAUAGACCUAAAUCCUCAGAACCUGAGUGGUCAAGAGUUUGAAGGUCACCGAACUUACUUUCAAAACUGAUGAGCCUUCAUUGUUGUGUACAGUAUGGCACUACAGUCUCCAACACGGCAGAUGCUUCUCCAGGUCCUAUACUCUUUGAAGGGAAGAGAAGAUGCCAUCCGAGCACAGGAUCUGGAGAGCAAAAGGUGAUCAACAGAUGUUUAGGGGUCUGAAUGAGACCCCGGCAGGAGCUUCUUCAGUCUUCCCAGGAGAAGAAAGCUCUGAGCAGCAAAUGAGCAAGUGAGAGACGCGGGCCCAGGAGCACCCAAUAAGAUGCAUAGCCAAUGGACAAGUGUCAUGUUUGGCUUCAAAUGAGCUCAAAGCACUGGGAGAAGAUGAAAGAGAGAAUGGACCCUGGCCUUCAAGGAGUUUCCCCAGGUGAGGAGCUGGGCACACCUGAGAUGAUCAGACAAGUCUGGACUUGAGGCAGUGCCACGAUGUAGCAACUCAAGCAAACUUCGGAGAGACCCACAUGGGGUGGGACUGAAACCACCUGUGAACAACCAGCGCUGACUCAGCAACCAGGAUCGACAAGGGGAAACACCACAGACCAGCUUUCCCACUCAAAGAAGGCACUGGAGAAAUCGGAGUUCCUACUGGAGCUGAGCAUCUGAGAAUGUGCCUUUCUAUCAACUGAGUCUCUAGUAGCCUCGAGGCUACAUCAGGCUGGGGACCCAGGCCAAAGUCCUGAAUGACCUGAGACCACAGUGCAAGGACCACAACAAGGCCUGAAGUAACAGGCCCACCUUGGAUGCUCUAGGCUCUCAGGGCGGCCCACAAAGAGUUCCAUUUGCAAAGCACCACUGAUGAAACUGGGGGCAUCUUUCAGUCAUGCUGUCGACUGGUUCCUAGAGGACUUGUAGCAAGUUCUUUAUUGGAAGAGUCUAUUCAACUCCACAGGUAGGAUCAGCUUUGAGAAAUCUAAAGAGCAGUUAUUAUUGAGAGAUUGGGAAGUUCAAGUUCCAAAGACCUCUCAUCAGAUAGGAGUAAAUUUGCAUCUUCAAGAAACCCUGAAAGGGAUUUACAUAAGGAGGAAGCACAGCACGUGUCCAUCAUUGCCACCAUUAUUAUAUAAGAGCAGCUUCAUUUGUUCCAGCAGAGUCCAUAUGAGCAUGAAAGCCAGAGAUGAGUCUUGAUGGUCUGUGGUGUGUUCUAGAUGAAUCCACACAGCGAGGAGGCUGGGGAGUGCCCUGAGGCCAGAGUGAGAGAAAUGCUUUCCUUGCUGCCUGCUGUGUAACUACCUUCACGUCUGCAUGGUGGCCGUCGUAGCGUGUGUGUCAGUCCUGUCCGACUCUUUGUGACCCCGUGAACUGUAGUCUGCCAGACUCCUCUGUCCAUUGGAUUUUCCAGGCAAGAAUACUGGAGUGGAUUGCCAUUUCCUACUCCAGGGAAUCUUCCCAACCCAGGUAUCGAACCCACAUCUCUUGCAUCAGCAGAUGGAUUCUUUACCAUUGCACCCCCUGGGAAACAUUAUCAUUUACUAUAUAAGGGCAGUUAUUAAGCAUCUACCAAGUGUCAGGCACAAUGCUAUAUGCUAACCCUCAGAUCAAUCUUGCAAGCUAAAUGUUGCUUUCUUAAUUUUAUGGGUGAAGGAAUGCAAGUUCAGAGAAGUUAAAUAACUUGUUGAAAGUUAACUUGUUGCAUUCAAAUGGCACAGUUGGGAUUCAGAUCUAGAAUUGUCUGACUCUGAGGUCUAUGUUCUACUCUGCAACCGUUACUAUAAUAGCAUUAGAGAUGCAGUGGCUUUGACACCAAAUGAGCUUUCUCUGAGUACAGCUCCUGGAGUUGUAAGGCCAGCCAGGAUUCCUGGUUCUAAACCAGAAACUGAAUAGCUAACUUAAAUAUCAAAGGGGUUUGGGAGAGACAUUGGGUAAAUCAAAGACUGACAAACUGAAGAAGCAGGCAAGAACCCACCCCUACCAAGACUCACAUAAUGGGAAAUUCACCUAGGAAGGUAUUCAGAUGCUGGGAAGCCAGAACAGAAUGAGAAACAUUCACUGCAGAGUCUCAGGAAUGGCAGAGCCUCGAGGAUAGAAUCCCAGUGAUGAAAACUUGGCCAAAUGUAGCUAAAAACCAUAGCCAUCGGUACCUAGCCUUAUUGCCCUCAAUAUUGAGGGCCUGGAAAAACAAGUCACCCAUACAGACUUGAGGUGAUAAGAGUCUGUUCCAUUUACUCCUCCUCCUUACAACCCCCAAACUUAAGAUUUUGUAGUUUCCUGAUGGCUCAGCAGUAAAGAAUUUGCCUGCAAUGCAGGAGACCCAGGGUGAAUCCCCAGGUUGGAAAGAUCCCCUGGAGGAGGAAAUGACAACCCAUCCAGUAUUCUUGCCUGAAAAAUCCCAUGGACAGAGGAGCCUGGUGAGCUACAGUCCAAAAGGGUCACAAAGAGUCAGACGCAACUGAGCACACACACACACACACAAACACACUGUUAGUGUGACACUAGUCUCAGGACUCACCCAUUCUACCCAGCCUUCAAGAUUGCCCCAGUGAUCCUUAUCUCCUGGUAUUCUUGCUCUUUGUAUGGUCCCUUUCACAUUGAAUCAGGGCUGACCUAGAUUAACAAUAGAAUGCAAUGGAUAUGCCGAUACGUGGCUUCCAGAGCUGGGUCAUAGAAGCAUUACAGCUCCUUCCUUGGUCUUCUUGAUAUGUAGCUGUGGAGAAAGCCAGUUGCCAUAUUGUGAGGACACUCAAGCAGCCUCCUGGAGACAAUGAUGUGGAGGGGAACCAACUUUCCAGCCAUGUGAGUGAGCCAUUGAGUCUGGGGUUAAUUUGCUGUACAACAAUAACUGGAGAUAAGGUGAUAAGGGGAGGUAAUAUGUGUGAAAGCGAACCACUGGAGCAGCGCCUGGCACGCAGUUCUUCCCGGGGCUGAAAGGGACUUUCCGGCAGGUGUGGCCAUUUCCUCAGUAACAUACCUAACAGAUGCUCAGACUGUCAGUAAACCUGGAGGUCCCUUACAUAUACUUCACAUGUAGUUUUGUUUGCAAGAGAGGCUAAAUAUCUUGGCCUCCUGAAGCAAGGAUAAGACGAUGGUGGAGCCCAGUGUAAGGCAGUUCGUGAGCAGCCCCCUUUAUGGGAAGUGUCCUCCUGGCCCUCUGAGCCUGUCUGGCCACAGACCUUCCCGUAAUGUGUUUUUCCUUUAUAAAAACCUGAGAUUAGAACACUACAGCCCAUGAAUAACUCCCCUCUUUUUGUAAGUUAAGCUGUAUUAGAACUCAGCCAUGUUCGUUCAUUUGUGUAUUGUCUAAUGUAUUUAUGUGCUGCAAGAGCAGAACUACAGAGAUAUCAGGGCUUCCGUGGCAGCUCAGUGAUUAAGAAUCUGCCCACCAAUGCAGGAGACGUGGGAGACACAGGUUUUGUUUCCUGGGUUGGGAAGAUCCCCUGGAAAAGGAAAUGGCAAUUCGCUCCAGUAUUCUUGCCUGGGAAAUCUUAAGGACAGAGGAGUCUGGCAGGCUAUAGUCCAUGGGGUCGCAAAGAGUCAGACUCUACUGAGCAACUAAACAACAAGAGAUAUUGUGUGUGCCCUGCAAGGCCUAAAAUACUAUCAGGCCUUCUAAGGGAGAGUUUGCUGACUCCUGGUAAAAUGGUCAAAGCACUGCUGGCUAGCACAGCUGAGAGCCAAAGAGGCAGCCCGAAUUGUCUGUUCUCUGUUCCCAGCUCUGCAGAGGACAAAGGGGCACCAUGGCUCUUCUCUUUCUCUCUCUCUUUCUCUCUCUCAUUAUGAAGGACUUUCCAAUAGGAUAAACAAUAGAAAUGUCAAGUGGAAUCCCACCAAUCCUGACACAUGAGCCCAAGAGAGAUCUACACUCCUGCAUUCAUUAUCUCUUCCUAUGUAGCAGACUACCCCAAAA